rnacentral:tRNA from 1 species
AUUCUUGAAGUCAAUACAGUGAUAUUUCAAAAUCGAUGACCCUGGUUGAGACCCAGGCAAGAAUU